UUCAUCCAUCCUCACAAUGUUCUGAGUUCAAAUUCUGCCGAAGUCGACUUUGUAUUUUAUACAUUCGGGAUCGAUGAGAUAAUUACCUGUUGAGUACUGGG